UACGGAGGGAGCUAGCGUUGUUCGGAAUUACUGGGCGUAAAGCGCGCGUAGGCGGCUUUGUAAGUUAGAGGUGAAAUCCCGGGGCUCAACCUCGGAACUGCCUUUGAUACUGCAAAUCUCGAGUCCGGAAGAGGUGAGUGGAAUUCCUAGUGUAGAGGUGAAAUUCGUAGAUAUUAGGAAGAACACCAGUGGCGAAGGCGGCUCACUGGUCCGGUACUGACGCUGAGGUGCGAAAGCGUGGGGAGCAAACAGG
rnacentral:rRNA from 1 species